CAAUGCAUUACGUGGGUGGUGUUUUAUUGGAAGAACUAAAUGGCAUUUAAUUAACACUUCAGUCCAAAAUUUAAAACCUAUGGGCGUAGGCUACCUAAACGGCAGCAUUUUGGCCGUAAGAAUGAAAAGGUGAUAACGUGAUUUUCUCCUCUUCCCUUCCCUCUCUCUCUUGCUACACACUAUCUUUCAUCUCUGCGCAUCCUUCCUCUCUCCCAGCCCCUGCAUCCUUCUCUCACACCAAGCCCCUCACUCACAACUCAACAACUCUUUUCUGUCGACACCGUCUCGUUCUCCUCCACUUUAUAUGUCCCUGAGGCUAUAUAUAUUAUUCUCCUCUCUCUCAGUGAGCUAAUCGGAGCAAUUUGGCACCAAGCUAUGUGGAUUCAUAUUGGUAAAUCUGAAUGUCUUGUUUCGACAUCAAAGCAACCUGUUCUACAUGAAUGCUCAUUUAAUCUGUCUUUUUUCCUGCUUUGCACUUAUCCCAUUGUCUGUAGUUGGAUAAUGUGCUGCCAAACGUGUUAGUUAAGUUCAUGGCCUUCAAGUAAACACCCUUAUUCAAUGAAUGUAUGAGAUUUUCUGUAUCAUAGGUGUAAGAACAAUGUUGGCAGAUUUGUACUAGUUGUUGGUGGUUAUGUAUGUAAGUUGACAGAUUAUUAACCCACAUAAUAUACAAUCUGCUGUUGAUAUUU